AUUGAACGCUGGCGGCAGGCCUAACACAUGCAAGUCGAGCGAGCGGCGGACGGGCGAGUAAUGUAUGGGGACUUCCCGAUAGAGGGGGAUAACUACUGGAAACGGUGGCUAAUACCGCAUACUGUCGUAUAACCCAUAUGGGAUUAGCUAGUAGGUAAGGUAAUGGCUUACCUAGGCGACGAUCCCUAGCUGGUCUGAGAGGAUGAUCAGCCACACGGGGAAUGAGAAACGGCACAGACUCCUACGGAGGCAGCAGUGGGGAAUAUUGCACAAUGGGCGCAAGCCUGAUACAGCCAUGACGCGUGUAUGAAGAAGGCCCUAGGGUUGUAAAGUACUUUCAGUCGGGAGGGGUUACCGACAGAAGAAGCACCGGCUAAAUCCGUGCCAGCAGCCGCGGUAAUAC
rnacentral:rRNA from 1 species